UCCGAGAGGGACAAGUGUUAUUUGUUAUGACUGGGCGUAAAGGGUACGUAGACUAUUAAAUCUGUACUAACACGGGUAAAAUGCUGCAUUUAGUUACUGUAGAAGACCAGUUAAAGGUUUAAUUCGAGUUUAGCUCAGGAUUGUAGAAUUUUUUUUUUUUUAUAAGGCUAAAAUCUGUUUAAAAAAAAAAAAUGCCGCGGGUGAAGGCAAUAAUCUGGAGUUGACUGACGUUUGAGGUACGAAAGCGUGGGGAGCAAAUAGG
rnacentral:rRNA from 1 species